UACGUAGGGUGCGAGCGUUAAUCGGAAUUACUGGGCGUAAAGGGCUCGUAGGCGGCCAACUAAGUCAGACGUGAAAUCCCCAGGCUUAACCUGGGAACUGCGUCUGAUACUGGAUGGCUUGAAUUCGGGAGAGGGAUGCAGAAUUCCAGGUGUAGCGGUGAAAUGCGUAGAUAUCUGGAGGAAUACCGGUGGCGAAGGCGGCAUCCUGGACCGACAUUGACGCUGAUGAGCGAAAGCUAGGGGAGCAAACGGG
rnacentral:rRNA from 1 species